AGAGUUUGAUCCUGGCUCAGGAUGAACGCUAGCUACAGGCUUAACACAUGCAAGUCGAGGGGCAGCAUUUUAGUUUGCUUGCAAACUGAAGAUGGCGACCGGCGCACGGGUGAGUAACACGUAUCCAACCUGCCGAUAACUCCGGGAUAGCCUUUCGAAAGAAAGAUUAAUACCGGAUGGCAUACGAAUAUCGCAUGAUAUUUUUAUUAAAGAAUUUCGGUUAUCGAUGGGGAUGCGUUCCAUUAGUUUGUUGGCGGGGUAACGGCCCACCAAGACUACGAUGGAUAGGGGUUCUGAGAGGAAGGUCCCCCACAUUGGAACUGAGACACGGUCCAAACUCCUACGGGAGGCAGCAGUGAGGAAUAUUGGUCAAUGGGCGCGAGCCUGAACCAGCCAAGUAGCGUGAAGGAUGAAGGCUCUAUGGGUCGUAAACUUCUUUUAUAUGGGAAUAAAGUUUUCCACGUGUGGAAUUUUGUAUGUACCAUAUGAAUAAGGAUCGGCUAACUCCGUGCCAGCAGCCGCGGUAAUACGGAGGAUCCGAGCGUUAUCCGGAUUUAUUGGGUUUAAAGGGAGCGUAGGUGGAUUGUUAAGUCAGUUGUGAAAGUUUGCGGCUCAACCGUAAAAUUGCAGUUGAAACUGGCAGUCUUGAGUACAGUAGAGGUGGGCGGAAUUCGUGGUGUAGCGGUGAAAUGCUUAGAUAUCACGAAGAACUCCGAUUGCGAAGGCAGCUCACUAGACUGUCACUGACACUGAUGCUCGAAAGUGUGGGUAUCAAACAGGAUUAGAUACCCUGGUAGUCCACACAGUAAACGAUGAAUACUCGCUGUUUGCGAUAUACAGUAAGCGGCCAAGCGAAAGCAUUAAGUAUUCCACCU
rnacentral:rRNA from 1 species